UUGCACUGUUACUGUUCUUUACCAGCCUUUUCAGGAGCCAAAAAAACAAAUACAAACAAACAAAAAAAUACCCAGAGAAAAAACUUUCCUUCUUCCCCCUUCCUGAUGAUGAGUGAGAAGUAUUGAGAACUUUCGGGGUCAGUGCCCUUCUAAACUCCCCUUCCCCCAAUAAUGCAGCUGUAUAAUGAAUGGUAAAUGCACCGGUUUGGAUUCAGGCACAGCCCCAGUCUGCCUACAGACAACUAAACUGGUAGGUGGCAGCAGAGGAAGGAAUUCUUCAGAUUGAUGGCUACUGACUUAAAGUCUGCAUAGGAGAAGAGAUAGAGCAUGACAUACCAAGUGAAGCAAGGGGGACAAAAAUGGAAACAGGACUAAGAUUCCUGCAUUUUGACUCUAAAUGGUUCUUUUGAAGUAACCAGUGAUCUUUUUUGCUUACCCUCAUCAACAGAAUGGAUGAAGAUAGAUUUGACUGUGUGCUUUUUCAAGUGGAGAAUAUGAAUAUACAGAACAAGAAAGCAAUAACUCCAACCUGUUUGAUUCCGUCUGUUUUCUAAAUAAAGACACUAUGCGCUGGA
rnacentral:lncRNA from 1 species